UCUCCGUAGGUGAACCUGCGGAAGGAUCAUUAUUGUAUAACCGAGGUGCGAGGGCUGUCGCUGACCCGAAAGGUCGUGCACGCCCGAGUGCCCUCACACACAUCCAUCUCACCCCUAUGUGCACCACCGCGUGGGUCCCCCUUUGGCUUGUUCGCAGGGGGGCUUACGUUUUCACACAAACUUUGUAUGCAGUGUAGAAUGUAUUUUUUGUUUUUGCGAUCACGCAAUCAAUACAACUUUCAACAACGGAUCUCUUGGCUCUC
rnacentral:misc_RNA from 1 species